rnacentral:tRNA from 1 species
UGUUUUAUAGUUUAAUUGAAAAAUAUUAAAUUGCAAAUUUAAAGAAAUUUAAUAAAAUUAAAACAU